rnacentral:rRNA from 14 species
CUGGUUCUCUCCGAAAACUAUUUAGGUAGUGCCUCACGUAUUACCUUCGGGGGUAGAGCACUGUUUUGGCUAGGGGGUCAUGGCGACUUACCAAACCAAGGCAAACUCCGAAUACCGAAGAGUAGCAGCGUGGGAGACAGUGCACCGGGUGCUAACGUCCGGACACGAGAGGGAAACAACCCAGACCGCCAGCUAAGGUCCCUAAAACCGGCUAAGUGGGAAACGAAGUGGGAAGGCUAAAACAGUCAGGAUGUUGGCUUAGAAGCAGCCAUCAUUUAAAGAAAGCGUAAUAGCUCACUAGUCGAGU